GGGAUGUCUGACGUCACACUAACGACAAAAUGAUGGCUUCGCGACGUCACCUGUCUAUCAAAACUCCCACUGUACAUUUUAACAGGACCCCAUCUUGAUGUGUUGAAUGAACCUGCUACCAUGCUAGCAUGCUAGCAUCACAGCAACGUUGAUGGAAAUAGGCACCGCUGGUGCUCCUCUGACCUCACCUGCCUGAAGAGGACUACUCACUGUCGCACACACUUUGUCAGAAGCAGCACUGGUGUCAUGGAGCUCAGAAGCCGGAUGUGAGGGCGCCGCAUGGACCAACUUCAGUCAGGCCAGGUCUAAACCCGCACGUUGGACACCCUAUAUUUGAAUGACUAGAGGAAAUAAAUUCAGUCCUUCACAUUCUGAAGACCCCUUUAAUAACAGAGACAUACUGUCUUAGAAAAUUGAAACAUGUUUAAUAAAUAAAAAGUGAUGUAAUAUACACCAUUAUGAAUGGACAGUUCUACAAGCAUACCAAGACAUUUGGAAAUACAAAAAAAAACAUUGUGUUGAAAGAAAAACAUAUAAAAAAGCAUGAGAAAAAUGUGUACAGACUGGAGUAGUAGCAUGAGGUGUAGUAGUUAUUCGAUUUCCGGAUGAACUGGUUUGCAUUUUGAGGUACUGAGUUGUCUAUGCCUGCAACUGACAAAACAUUGGACGGCAAAAAAGGAAGACCAAACUAUGGUUGCUCUUGUUCCACUUAUUGCAUUUGGUUAUUUGGAACAAAGAAAUUAGUUUCACCAAACUUCAGCUUCUAGACUUUAGGGACUUGAUAAGUUGAGGCAUCGAAUUGGAGAUUUUUCACGUCAACAAAAAAAGUAAAAGCUAUGUAAUUUGAAAUAUUGGACCACACUGAAAAGCUGAAAUAUGACAAGAUUAUGGUAGCAAAGUGAGUACACUCACAUAUCUAGAAAUACAGUAUGUUAUUACAAUAUAUAUAUCUUCUCAUGGGACAACACAGGUUUUAUAUACCAUUUAUAUAUACCGUACCUACUUUACACAGUGGAUGCAUGCAUAUUCAUGAUUUGCACACAUUUUUGGGGAGUCUAUAUUAAUUCCCCCAAAUAUUAAGGAUCUACUGUACACCAAUUCCUCAUCUACCACGGCCAAUUGCUUCCAGAACCGACCUUACAACUGAAUAAUUUCGUAGUUACAGCAAAGAAAACCUGUUUGUUAUUUUUUUCUAUAUGACUUUUAUUUAUUAGAGACCUCUAGACAUGAAAUAACACCCCUAUAGUGGGGCUAAAAUAUUCUUUUUUUUUUUAAAUGGCACUGAGCGCAAGCUUGUUACGGCAGCCCCAUGUCUUCUGACACGUUCUUAAUUUUUAAUAGUGCUUGUAUUAUUACCUUUUUUUUAUUUUUUUGUGCCAUACCGACCCCUUAAGCAAGUCUGCAGCUAUGGAAGUUCAUUUUGUUAUGUUUGUAGCUUGCCGCUUCCUCCAUUGUUUACACUCUUUGAGCACUUCCUUGCUACGCCGAGAACCCCGCAUAGAUAUGGAGGAGAGGCCGCAUCGCAAAAGUGAAGAGUAAAAACGACUCCAACAGACUCCUCCAGUUCUGUUCCCAUAGUGAACACUACAUGACUUAAACCUCAUCUGCCUGUAAAAGAUAAUUCACGACAUUUUAGUACUGCCUUGUGUACAUUUACUUGUAUUUACCGUAUUUUUACUCACUAAACAUUGAAUUCAUUUUACAUUACAUUUUAUUUAAGAGUGUUUGCUUUUUAUCAUGCAAUCGAUCGAUAAAGUCUGUCUAAUGUCUGUGUGUGGAGUUGUGUUGGUAGACAGUAAAUGUACAAGUUGUACACUGACUACUUUACAUUUUUACUUUACGUUUCCCUCGUGUUGUCCCAUGAAAAGCUAUAGUAAAAUAUUUGCAGAUACGUGAGGGGAAUAUUCACUUUUGGAGGAAAAUGAUAAGUGCACAAUGAAAUAGUCAAUGUUUUGGCACAGGAAAACUAUAAUCAGUAUAAGCACUUCCUGAAAAGGAAGUACACAUACUGAAGUCACAAAAUUACUUCUUUCUGUCAUAACUUUCUCUUUUUUUGGUCUUUUCAGUAUGGCCACAAAUAUGGAAGGAAAAGAUGGCUGGUAAGAAUUCAUUUUUAACCCACAAGAAUCAAUUUGGACUUCAAAUAAAAUGAUGGGGAGUGUGUGUAACACAGAGUAGUAAGAGUUGAACUGUAACAUCUGACACCCCAUUAAAGCAUCACAUUUGUUAAGUGGCUUCAAAAACAAAAAAAAAAAAAAAAAACUUUUGGAAAUGAGCUAGCUUACCUGACACAUGGCCAUUUUUGGAAGCCUGGGAUACUCACAUGACUACACUUAGGGCAGGGGUGUCCAAAGUGUGGAACGGGGGGCCAUUUGGGGUCUCCUGUUGAUGUUUUUUUUUUUUUUUUAAAUAGCACAUUGCUAAAAUUCAAUUUACUCAUGAGAAAACUUAAAAAAUAAAAAAUGUUAAA